AAAAAUGUUGCCCCAAAGCGUAACCGAUCGUUCCACAUCGCCCACCACAACUCAGGGAGUAAUAUUUGGAUCUCAGCUCGUCCAAGCCAACUCCAGAACUCCGUACAGCGAUGCAACGCAGGUGAGAUCAACUGGGCCCUCCGGAAUGUUAGUAAGUGACGUGAACUGAGCAGAAGCAACGCGAAUGAGGGGAGAAGAAAGAGAGGAAGAAAUGGAGGAAAGAGAGAAAAAAAGAAUCGGC
rnacentral:misc_RNA from 1 species